rnacentral:rRNA from 1 species
CAUUUGCCAAGUAUGUUCCCGUUAAUCAAGAACGAAAGUUAGAGGUUCGAAGGCGAUCAGAUACCGCCCUAGUUCUAACCAUAAACGAUGCCAGCCAGCGAUCCGCCGAAGUUCCUCCGAUGACUCGGCGGGCAGCUUCCGGGAAACCAAAGCUUUUGGGUUCCGGGGGAAGUAUGGUUGCAAAGCUGAAACUUAAAGGAAUUGACGGAAGGGCACCACCAGGAGUGGAGCCUGCGGCUUAAUUUGACUCAACACGGGAAACCUCACCAGGCCCGGACACCGGAAGGAUUGACAGAUUGAGAGCUCUUUCUUGAUUCGGUGGGUGGUGGUGCAUGGCCGUUCUUAGUUGGUGGAGCGAUUUGUCUGGUUAAUUCCGGUAACGAACGAGACUCUAGCCUGCUAAAUAGACGAUUUCCGGUAUCCACAAUAGUGCUACCGGCGAAAUCAAUAUCUUCUUAGAGGGACAGGCGGCUUUCAGCCGCACGAAACUGAGCAAUAACAGGUCUGUGAUGCCCUUAGAUGUCCUGGGCCGCACGCGCGCUACACUGAAGGAAUCAGCGUGUCUACCCUGGCCGAAAGGCUCGGGCAACCCGUUGAACCUCCUUCGUGCUAGGGAUUGGGGCUUGCAAUUGUUCCCCAUGAACGAGGAAUUCCCAGUAAGCGCGAGUCAUAAGCUCGCGUUGAUUACGUCCCUGCCCUUUGUACACACCGCCCGUCGCUACUACCGAUUGAAUGAUUUAGUGAGGUCUUCGGACUGGUGCGCGGCGCCCGCCUGCGCGGCCGCCGAUGCCACCGGGAAGAUGACCGAACUUGAUCAUUUAGAGGAAGUA